rnacentral:rRNA from 1 species
GGCUUGUUGAUAAUAAUUUCAAGUCUGACCUGCCCAGUGAAACGUUAAACGGCCGCGGUAUAUUGACCGUGCAAAGGUAGCAUAAUCAUUAGUUUUUUAAUUGAAAGCUUGCAUGAAAGGUUUAAUGAGAAAAAGACUGUCUCUAUAAAAACUUACUAGAAUUUUAUUUUUAAGUCAAAAAGCUUAAAUUUUGAUAGAAGACGAGAAGACCCUAUAGAGUUUUAUAUUUUAAUAAGUAAUGUUUUUUGUAUAAAUAAAUUAUUUAUUGAAGUAUUUUGUUGGGGUGAUAGAAAAAUUAAAUAAACUUUUUUUUUACAGAAACAUUGAUUUAUGAGCAAAUGAUCCUAGAAUUUAGAUUAUAAGAUGAAAUUACCUUAGGGAUAACAGCGUAAUUUUUUUUAGAGUUCUUAUCGAAUAAAAAGAUUGCGACCUCGAUGUUGGAUUAAAAUUUAUUAUGGGUGUAGAAGCUUAUAGAUAAGGUCUGUUCGACCUUUAAAAUUUUACAUGAUCUGAGUUUAAACCGGCUUGAG